rnacentral:misc_RNA from 1 species
UGAAGUUUCAUUGUUCAUGACACAUUAGGCUCACUGAUAGUGACAAAAAAAAGAAAUAAUAAUAAUAAUAAUUCCAUCAUUUAUCCAAGUCAACCUUGUCCAUUCACUCACCAAGGAUAAUUAGUUUUAUAUAUUGCUAAAUAGGGAAAACAGAUUGAAAUAGAUAAACUAAUAAUACCCUACUUAGGAUGAAAACAUUGAAAAAUAACCCUCAAUUAUGUGGAGGGCCAGCAUAUACAAUGAUACAACCAUAGAAAUAUAAUCCAUGAAUAAGAGAAAAGAUAUCAUCCAAGCAGACAAAGAAGUG